UGAAGAGGAGAAUUUGAGAACAAUAUCAAUGCAUUAAAAAAAUAAUUUUUAAAAAUAAUAUUGCUAGAAUAAAUCACAAAUGCAAGUGAGAGUAGACCACCAAGCCAAAAAAAAAGAUCACAUCAUACAUCAAUGGAUUAAUCAAAUCCUCCCAAAAUAAGAUUGGUUUAUUAGCCUAAUCCUCUAAUCUCACAUGACAUAUAGCAUAAGAAAAUAUACAAAUAUAAGUAAUUAAUUAAUUAACUAAUUAAGUGAUAAAUAUAAGACAAGAAGACAGCAAAAUACAUUAAUCACACACCACAAGUACAUUAACAAUGAUAAUCAAGAAUAAAUCUAAACAAGCCCUGCCCAUUUCUUUUUGCCUCCCUCUAUGUCCAAGAUGGAUAAAAUGAGGGAAAGCAAGAAAAUGGGGAGAUAGAUAUAUGAAACUAG
rnacentral:misc_RNA from 1 species